GACGAACGCUGGCGGCGUGCUUAACACAUGCAAGUCGAACGGAAAGGCCCUGCUUUUGUGGGGUGCUCGAGUGGCGAACGGGUGAGUAACACGUGAGUAACCUGCCCUUGACUUUGGGAUAACUUCAGGAAACUGGGGCUAAUACCGGAUAGGAGCUCCUGCUGCAUGGUGGGGGUUGGAAAGUUUCGGCGGUUGGGGAUGGACUCGCGGCUUAUCAGCUUGUUGGUGGGGUAGUGGCUUACCAAGGCUUUGACGGGUAGCCGGCCUGAGAGGGUGACCGGCCACAUUGGGACUGAGAUACGGCCCAGACUCCUACGGGAGGCAGCGGUGGGAGAUAUUGCACGAUGGGCGGAAGCCUGAUGCAGCAACGCCGCGUGCGGGAUGACGGCCUUCGGGUUGUAAACCGCUUUCGCCUGUGACGAAGCGUGAGUGACGGUAAUGGGUAAAGAAGCACCGGCUAACUACGUG
rnacentral:rRNA from 1 species